rnacentral:rRNA from 1 species
AUUGAACGCUGGCGGCAGGCCUAACACAUGCAAGUCGAGCGGAGCGGCGGACGGGUGAGUAAUGCCUAGGAAUCUGCCUGGUCGUGGGGGAUAACGUCCGGAAACGGGCGCUAAUACCGCAUACUAUCAGAUGAGCCUCGGUGGGAUUCGCUAGUUGGUGGGGUAAAGGCCUACCCAGGCGGCGCUCCGUAAGUGGUCUGAGAGGAUGUUCGUUCACACUGGAACUGAGACACGGUCCAGGCGCCUACGGUAGGCAGCAGUGGGGAAGAUUGGGCAAUGGGCGAAAUCCUGAUCCAGCCGUGCCGCGUGUGUGAAGAAGGCCUUCGGAUUGUAAAGCACUUUAAGUUGGGAGGCGUUACCAACAGAAUAAGCACCGGCUAACUACGUGCCAGCAGCCGCGGUAAUAC